rnacentral:rRNA from 1 species
UACAGAGGGUGCAAGCGUUAAUCGGAAUUACUGGGCGUAAAGCGCACGUAGGCGGUUUUUUAAGUCAGAUGUGAAAGCCCCGGGCUCAACCUGGGAAUUGCAUUUGAAACUGGAAAACUAGAGUAUGUGAGAGGGGGGUAGAAUUCCAAGUGUAGCGGUGAAAUGCGUAGAGAUUUGGAGGAAUACCAGUGGCGAAGGCGGCCCCCUGGCACAAUACUGACGCUGAGGUGCGAAAGCGUGGGGAGCAAACAGG